rnacentral:rRNA from 1 species
GUGGGUAGUUUGACUGGGGCGGUCUCCUCCCAAAGCGUAACGGAGGAGCACGAAGGUUAGCUAAUCCUGGUCGGACAUCAGGAGGUUAGUGCAAUGGCAUAAGCUAGCUUGACUGCGAGCGUGACGGCGCGAGCAGGUGCGAAAGCAGGUCAUAGUGAUCCGGUGGUUCUGAAUGGAAGGGCCAUCGCUCAACGGAUAAAAGGUACUCCGGGGAUAACAGGCUGAUACCGCCCAAGAGUUCAUAUCGACGGCGGUGUUUGGCACCUCGAUGUCGGCUCAUCACAUCCUGGGGCUGAAGUAGGUCCCAAGGGUAUGGCUGUUCGCCAUUUAAAGUGGUACGCGAGCUGGGUUUAGAACGUCGUGAGACAGUUCGGUCCCUAUCUGCCGUGGGCGCUGGAGAAUUGAGGGGGGCUGCUCCUAGUACGAGAGGACCGGAGUGGACGCAUCACUGGUGUUCGGGUUGUCAUGCCAAUGGCACUGCCCGGUAGCUAAAUGCGGAAGAGAUAAGUGCUGAAAGCAUCUAAGCACGAAACUUGCCCCGAGAUGAGUUCUCCCUGAGACUUUAAGUCUCCUGAAGGAACGUUAA